UCCAGUUUCCUCCUAUACUCCAAAGAUGUGCAGGUUUGCAGGUUAAUUGGCUUUGGUAAAAAUGAAAACUGUCUUAAUGUGUGGGAUAGUGUAAGUGAGAGGGGAUCGCUGGUCGGCAGGGUGGGCCGAAGGCCCCCUUUCUGUGAUAUAUCUCUAAAUGUCUAAACUAAACUAAAAUUGUGUUGUAACCUUUGGAAACCCUCAUUAUGUUCAUCAGUCCAAUCUUUGCUGUGGCUUUUGCAAGAGGUUUUUGCAACAGCAUUGUGACAUUGAUAAAUCAAGCUGAAAGAUUUCCAUCUCAAGAAACAGCUAUUGGUUUUUCCUUAAAAUGCUCGUUUUCCCCAAUGUGGUAGAAUCCAAGCAAUUCUGGGCCAAAACGUCUACUUUGUACUUUGGACUCUUUAAAUUUGUUGUUAUACCUGCAUUGUUUAUUUGCAGAAUAAUGUUUCUAACCUCUGCUACUUGUACCUCCACUCAGGUUCAAGGUAAUCCAUUACUGACAUUUGGCAUCCUAGAACAUUAAGCACUGGACAUUUCUGAUCUCAAAGGUUGUUCUUGCGAACAUGUGUCAGACUAAAUGACUACAAGGAUUCCCGAUUCUGAACACUUCACUUAGAUUUGCUUUCAUUCAACAAUUAUACACUUCAAGCAUGGGCACAUGAAGUCUGCAAAUGCUGUAAAUAAAACCCAGCAACUCAAAGAUGGAGGAGACGUGCUUACUUAGAGCAUAAACAACCUGUAUGGGGUGGAGAGACAAUAUCCUCACUGCAGGAGGUUACAGAUAACAUAACAGGAGACGACAUGGCUACACUGUAUUUUACGAGAUGCUGCUUCACCCGCUGAGUUAUUCCAGCAUUUUGUGCCUGACUUGGCUUUGGAGUUGAGCACCAUCGGCAAGCUACACUGCAGUAAAUUGGCAAUACCUCCUGCUUUGGCUGCACGAAAGACAAGAAGAGCAUUGUAACCAACAAGUCUCACACUGUCCUGGCAGGGGAUGACUUACCUGUUUAUUCAUCAUCAGGGGAGGAAAAUCAUGGAUAACUACAUACCUCAGCAACAUUGAACUUGUAUGGACCAUCUUUGGUUACAUCAAGGGUUUGGGGUUUUUUUUGCACUUGUAUUAUAGUUAUGAAUUUCUUGAUUUUUUAAAAAUAGGCCUGUUAAGCUUCUACGAGUAAGAAUUUAUUGUUCCGUUGUCAGCACAUUGACAAUCAAACACUCGACUGAUCUCUCAACCUGUCGUGCCCCCUCAACGAUAUAUGCAAAUGCACUCCGAUCUCUCUCCCUCUCUGUUUAUCACAUCGUACCAAGCUGCACCAAUUGGCCUAGUUGUUUCUCCUUAUCCUAUCUAGUUGAUGUACACUGUAACACAGUGGCACAGAGAUACAGUUGGUGUCUUACAGCACCAGAAAACCUGACUGCAGGUGCUGUCUGUGUAGAAUUGUGUUCUCCCUGUGGCCGCAUGGGUUCUCUCCAGAUGUCCCAGUUUCCUCCCACACUCCAAAGACGUGCAGGUUUGUAGGUUAAUUGGCUUCAGUAAAGUUUGUGAAUUGACCCUAGGGUGUAGGAUAAUGCUAGUGUAUAGGUUGAAUACUGGUCAGCGCGGCAGUCAGCUGAAGGGUCUGUUUGAGUGCAGCAAUCCCAGACAGCAGUUCAAUACCACCUUCUCAAGGACAUGGGGGACAGAUAAUAAAUGCCAUCCUUUCCAAUUACAUGAAUAUACAAGAUCUAAUCUAAAAUAAAGCUUUAUCUUAAAUUGAAAUAGAAUAUCCCAUUAAAUCAUAAUGAUGAAUUUCAGUAUAGUCAGCAGGAGACCCAUCACUUUUUUUAAGCAAAAGGGAGAAAAGUAAAUAAGAUAUACUGGAGAUCAAAUCAAUUUAUAGAACACGAUCAUCUAUCCUGCUUAGACAAUCUCUGGUGAUUGUCUUAUUCUUAAAUCCAUAGUAAGUUUUCUUUUCGAAGCACAAUUUCAAUCCAAAACAUAUUCAAGAUGUAAUGUUUUAUUCCUUUUAAUUAAAGCUUUGUUAGCUAAAUGUUCAGUUUGAAGUGUUAUUUCAUAUUUAUAAUAUUUGAAGAUUUCUUUGCACACAAGAUAAUUCCGAAUCAACCAGCAAUUUGCUGGAAAUACUCAAUGACCUGAGCAGCAUCUGUGGGGAUAAAGAAUUUGGCAACAUUGAGUCAGAACCCUGCAUCAGGACUGAGUGUCUGAUAAAAACCAAUCAUGGCUGGGGAAAUCCAACAUGUGGUACUGGUUAUUUCAACACGACAUGAUUGCAAGUCCCACUUUUCCAAGAAUGAAAUGUAUUACCACUAUUUACAAAAGAUUCUGUAUCCCUCGAGAAAUUUGACCAGGUGCAUCAUUUGACAUUAUUUUCCCACACAGAUUUAAUUUUGUAUCAGUGCCAAAUUAGGCAGCAUUAAUCUGAGAAACCAUCAUCGGUGAUCUUUCUUAGAACAACCUUGAGACGUGGAAGGAAAGAGGAGGACCCAGAGGAAACCCACAUGGUCACAGGAAAAACGUGCAAACUAUGCAUAGUCAGGAUCAAAUUAGGGCAUUAGUCACUGUGAGGCAGUAGAUUUAACAGCUGCAUCACUGUGAUGCCCUCAUUUUAAAUAUACGUCUUAAGGUGGCACAGCGACACAGCAGUAGAGUUGCUGCCUUACAGCGCCAGAGACCUGGAUUAGAUCCCGACUAUGGGUGCUGUCUGUACGAAAUGUAUUCAUUUUUCCUGUGACCGCGUGGAUUUCUUCUGGGUGCUCCGGUUUCCUCCCACACUCCAAGACGUACAGAUUGGAAGGUUAAUUGGCUUCGGGAAAAUUGUCCCUCGUGUGUAAGAUAGUGCUAGUGUAUGGGGUGAUCGCUGAAAACACAACACAAAUACGGGAGCACAGAGGGCAGCACAGUGGUGCAGCGGUAGAGUUGCUGCCUUACAGCACCAGUGACCUGGGUUUAAUCCUGACUACGGGUGCUGUCAAUACAGGAUUUAUACAUUCUACCUGUGACCACUUAGAUUUUUAUUGGGUGCUCCGGUUUCCUCCCACACUCCAAAGACGUGCACGUUAAUUUGGCUUCGGUAAAAAUUGUAAAUUGUCCUCAGUGUGUAGGAUAAUGCUAGUGUACAGAGUUAGCUGGUUGGCAUGGGCUCGGUGGGCAGAAGGGCCUGGUUCUACGCUGUAUCUGUAAACUAAAAACUAACCUUGCUUUCUUGUAGUUUUAUUCAUUAUUGUCAUGUAACCAGAAGUACAGUGAACAGCCUUUGUUUGCGUGUGAUCCAGCCAAGACUAUACAUGAAUACAAUCACCUGAUCGUAGUGCACAGAUAAAGAAUAGAGUACAUGACAUAGAGAUAUUACAUUGAAAGGUCAUUUGCCUAGAUACAAUUUCCUAAUAAGCAGUGCGAGUGGUAACUUUUACAAGAUGAUAAGCAUAAUGCAACACAAUAGUUUUAUUUUGUUGUUUCCUUCACAGUUGCCUAAUCUGUUGAGUAGCAAUGGCAUUUUCUAUUUGUGACACACAAUAGAAAUGAAAUGAAAAUGAAAUGAAAAACCUACAGCUGGAUACUGCAUCUCAUCAAUGGAUUGAUGAUAUUGCAGGUUCUUCAGGUUUAUUAUCUUUUGUCAGGGAGCAGCCUAACUACAAUUAACUCUGUCACGCAAUAACAUGAAAGGACAAGAGCACGAGAGGCCACACUGUCCCUCAAGCCUGUUCAGCCAGUCCAUAUGAUCAUCUAUUCUGGCAUCCACUCCAAAGAAAGAUCAGAAUGGAGCAUUGUUUUGAGAUAAUAUGCAAAUACUUCUAGACAGUCGUGACACAAUACUAUUCUGUUAUCAUAAGACAAUGUCCUUGGGAUAUUGGCAGUACACGUUCUAGUCUGAUUAGAUGUAGAUUUCCUGGUUGAAAGAUUAAAUUGCACAAAGUACAUACCCCAGAAUGGGGUGGCACAGCGGUAGAUUUGCUGCCUCAUGGCGCCAGAGACCUGGGUUCGAUCGUGACUAUGGGUGCUGUCUGUAUGGAGUGGCACAUACUGCCUGUGACCGCGUGGGUUUUCUCCAGGUUCUCUGGUUUCCUCCCACAAUCCAAAGACGUUUAAAGAUUCAUUUGUUUCUGUAAAUUGUCCCCAAUGUGUAGGAUAGAGCUAGUGUACAGGUGGUCGCUGGUUGGUGUGGAAUCGGUAGGCUAAAGGGCCUGUUUCUCCACUGUAUUUCUAAACGAAAUAUUGAAGUUGUAGGUAACCCAAACUUCCCUGCUGUUUUAUGCUUAAUGAACUAAAAUUAUCAUUUAUUUUCCUAAUGAGUCCCAACCUUGUUAUAGACACAAAACAAAGAACAGCUUCAAAAAUAAUCAAGAGUCUAAAGACUGAUAUUAUGGCUCAUGACCCAAGGAAUUCAAACAAGAAAAGCAAAAUUCAAUUUUCAAUAUAGUACAGUAUCACUUUUGCUGCAAAUAAUGAAAACUAGAAAGCGAAAGAAACUAUUGGAUGACUGGAUGGGUCUGUAAAAAUGAAACACUGGAAGGAAAUUGUUAGACCUUGUCAGGCAAAGUU